rnacentral:lncRNA from 1 species
GAAAGGAGUCCUUCUACAGCUCGUCAGCGAAGAUAUCGACCCUGGUGAGUAGCCGCCGGUGAACCGGUGAUGUGUGACUUGUCGGUUGAUGUAAUAAUUACUGUACAUAUAUACACUGCAGACACCGGGAAAGGAAAAGUAAGCGCAGUAGCAGCGGUAAGAGGUUAUUCGUCAGAUAACUCACCGGACCGGCCAGAUUACUUACAGGAAUUCGCCGCAGAUUUCAAACUCCCACCAGGAUUUGGAAUCCCCGGAGCUAUCCUUGUAACCAACCCUCAAAAAACAGAGCUCUAUCUCUUAGGUAUCAUCGUAAAUGGGUUACAAUCUGGAAUUUUGAAUUUCCCAUGCAAUUCC